AUACAGGGGUACAGGUUAGUAAUGAGACUAUAUACAGGGGUACAGGUUAGUAAUGAGACUAUAUACAGGGGCACAGGUUAGUAAUGAGACUAUAUACAGGGGUACAGGUUAGUAAUGAGACUAUGUACAGGGGGUAUAGGUUAGUAAUGAGACCUAUAUACAGGGGUACAGGUUAGUAAUGAGGCUAUAUACAGGGGUACAGGUUAGUAAUGAGGCUAUAUACAGGGGUACAGGUUAGUAAUGAGGCUAUAUACAGGGGUACAGGUUAGUAAUGAGGCUAUAUACAGGGGUACAGGUUAGUAAUGAGGCUAUAUACAGGGGUACAGGUUAGUAAUGAG
rnacentral:lncRNA from 1 species